AUACGGAGGGUGCGAGCGUUGUCCGGAAUUAUUGGGCGUAAAGAGCAUGUAGGCGGUCUGUUAAGUCUGGUGUGAAAGCCCGGGGCUCAACCCCGGAAGUGCAUUGGAUACUGGCAGACUUGAGUAUGGGAGAGGAAAGCGGAAUUCCGAGUGUAGGAGUGAAAUCCGUAGAUAUUCGGAGGAACACCAGUGGCGAAGGCGGCUUUCUGGACCAAUACUGACGCUGAGAUGCGAAAGCGUGGGGGGCGAACAGGAUUAGAUACCCUAGUAGUCC
rnacentral:rRNA from 1 species